GUUCAUGUUGUUGAUCGGAGUUUUGAAAAUUCGUGGAAGUAUUUAAAAAGCGCCCUGUACAGAUUAUAUGUCAAAUCAUGGCUUCUCCACCUGUUGAUGACAAUGAAACUAAUGACCAUGUUAACAUCAGAGGAAAAGCAAACUGGGAGAAGAAAGGACAACAUUGUUUUCGAUCUUGAAGGCCUGCGUAGACAUAGGACCAGGAAGGGGAGCUAGGAGUGGGAGAAGUGCCUGUGACUGAUAUAUGCACUAUCAGAUAGAAAUCCAGUUCAAAGGGAAAUCUGAAAUAGUGAAAUAGCAGAAAUCAUGACUUACAUACUGUAUAAUCUGCUCUAAAACACAAACAUUUGAAUUUAAAAUGUGUUAAAUGCAAAACAGUUCUACUUACAAAAUGAAUCUUUCAGUAAAUUCUAAAUGCAGCUGAAAAGUGAUAUACAUGAAAUGUGUGAA
rnacentral:lncRNA from 1 species